CCGGGGGGAAGCUGCGAGAGAAAAGGAGGGGGUAGAAAGAAAGGAUAAGGUGCGUGGUGAUUGGCUGAGCCGGGUUGCCGGAGCCCGGAGCCUGCGUCUUUUGUCUGCCUUGCUCCAGCGAAGGAGCGGGAGACGGCUGCGCGCCCCAAGUAGGCCAAUCAGGAUCCAGCCGGCGCUGGCCGGUAAGGCUGCGAUUGGUCGAAGCCCAGUUACUAAGCGGGACAAAGGCAGAAGGGGGAAAGAAAAGAAGAGGAGGAAAAAAAAAAAAAAAGAAAGAAAGAAAGAAAGCGCAAACGGCGGUUACUGACAGGCUGGGCGAGUGCUCAGGGGCUCUGGCUGCCGGGAGACAGGCGGGGCUCCCGCUGAGGCUGGGACGGGCCGGACGAGUUGGGGAGGUGGGGGGGAGGGAGACGGGCUGGCCCAAGACACCUCUGCCCGGAGAUUGGCCGCGGAGGAGGGGAGCGGACGGAGAGAGGCGCCUGCUGUCACCUGGAGGGAUUUGGGCUCCUCCGGUCCUUAGGAGGUCCCCGGGCAGAAUCCCUCCCCACAGACCUCUUCACCGUGCUGGGCAGCCCCCACUCCUCGCGAUAAGUUGCCAUAUAAAGAAAAGGUCCCCCAAACCCACUUGCAGGACUGUUACCACUCCGUGAGAUGAGAUGCCCAUGCCCCCCUGUAGCUUUCCCAGGCAGCUACCGGAACCCAAUCCCGGCUUCUCCCCUUGAGCGGUUAGACUUUUCUUAAGGAGGUAUUUCGCAGUUCCUCUGCGCUUCCCACGCAAGGACUUUUGAACUCAGAGGUAACUCCCCACACCUGAAAUAGUGAGGAGCCACAGCAGGCCCCUCAGCUCGAGUGCUCACGGCAGAAAACAUGCCUUGAAAUUACAGUGCGUCUGUGAUUUAAGACAAAUCACAGGUGUUAGAAUCCCCAGCCAAAAAGGGUUUAUUCUGUUUCCCUGACAGACCCCCUUCCACAUACACCGAGUCCCUUCCCCACACUUAAAACUAUGAUAGACUAUGAAAAACUGUGACUAUUUCCAUGCAUUUCAGAGACAGCUAAAUAACUUGCUGGGGAACACUGAAUAGCCAAAAGCAGAUUUGUGUCUCCUAAAGGUUAUGCUUGGAAUUGCCAUCCUGCAUACCGUACAAUACAGUCUGGGGAGGCCAAAAACUGUCCCAUUUCCUCUUUACACAGGAGUAACAAAGCCCAUUGUGUUUGGGUUGACAACCCGCUUUAAGCCCUAGCAAAACCUCCUACCCUGAAUGGCUCUGCUAUAUUGAUUCGUUCCUGUCGAAAAGUUGCCACGUUUCACCCUCUACCUUCUAAAGUGAUUCUGCCUUCCCUAACGGUGCUGUAAAUUGAGACAGUUCCUGGAAGCAGUCAAAAUAUGUAUAGGCUCUGUAUAGAGUCUUGGAUUAAAAAAGGGCUAGUAAGACUAAAUGGACAAGGUUGAACUGACAAAAGACAUCAAGAUUCUUACAUGCUUUCUUUUUCACAUUUCUGAAAUCCCAAACAUGAUUCAGAAGCCAGAUCAACUUUGGGGCAGGGCAUGUUGUUAAUUUGAAUGUCCUGAACCAUUUCUCUAGGUAGAAGAUACUGGAAGAUCAGCUCUAAUUUGUGGCUGGCUUCCCAGCAGUCUCUUUACUUCACCAUAUCUGGGAGCCAGAAGUACUCACAUGUGAUAACUCAAAAGGCAGAACAAUCAGUCAAGGGCAAGUUGGUUUAUUUUUGUUCACGGGUGUCCCUGUGCAUUCCCAAACAAAAUGAAGGUGAAGAGAGGAAGUGUGGAAAAGAUAAUGGCUUUCAGAUGUCCACAGCAGUUUUUGCCUGGACCAUUUUUCAUCAUUUAGUGGUGGGGUUUCAAUUUCUAAUAUGCAGAGCAAUCACCCAGCCUUUCCCACAGCUAAGACUUUGAGAGAUGUAGUAAAGCAGCACAGUGUAUAAUCUGGUCCUCAACCCUGGCACACAGAGUAAGGCUUGAUUCAACCUUGCCACCUAAAAUUAUAUGCUCCAGCUAUCCAACAAAUAAAGCUUUGAAUAGGAGACCUCCAAAAAAUAACAGUGAUGCAAGAAGCAAUGAUGAAUCAAGGGGAAACACAUUUCCUUUGGAUGGGCUUGAAUCAGUGCCCUGUCAUGGUGGGAAGUGCCUGUCAUAUGAUGCUGGCCUUACUUUCCUUCAGUUGAGAAAUAAAAGUGAGGUUCUGACUGCAUGUCAUCAAACCGCCUCAGGCUCUUUGGCAAAGGUAGAGAAUGUUAGCUCUGGUGUCCUGGACCGUUUCCAUCCUGGAGAAUUAUAUUUGGCCUGGGCGUGGAUUAAAUUCAGCUCUAAGAGCUCAAACUCCUGGGUCACAACCUGCUACUUUGGGAUUUUUUUUCCCCUUUGCCUCCCUCCUUUCUUUUUUUAAUUUAAAGUAGUUUUAGAUAAAUCACAAAAUCUGUAUGCCUUUAUUUAUAUAUAGGAGAUUUAUAUGAAAUAGGAGAUUGCCUUCAGAUUUAUACAGGCUUCUUAGCUUAUUCUGAAACACUAAGAAUGAAAACAAAAAUGCCACUUAACUACUUAGAAUUAAUAGUACCUUUCUGUAGCUCCAAAUAGAUAGGGUGUCCUUCACUUUUCACCCUGGUAUGGUCUUGCUAUCAAACUGUUCAAAUAUGCUCCAUUUCCCCCUCUUUAUUUCAGAGAUGGAUGAAAUAUUUCUCUUGUGCACUGAAUAUAGGGUAUGAUCUCAGAGCUCUCUGUGCCAGCAGAAUCAGCCUGGAACUCAGCCAAAAGUUCUUCGUGAUUAAAGGUGCCAUCUGAGCACACAAUAUUUUUUUAAAAGCCUUGCAAAAUGGAAACACACUUUUAUUAUUUUUUUAACGUCACUAGCUUUAACACCAGGACUGACUUGAGCCUUUAGGGAAGGAUCACAGGCCUUAAUCCCUCUCUUCUUUCCCCCUGCCCUCUCAUCAUGUUUCUUGAUCAAAUGUCUUAUGAUAAGGCCAAGUCCAUACAGCUAAAUAAACUCAAUAAAUGGAGUUCCAAGACAACUCCACGAAUCAUCAGUUGCAGAUUCAAGGACCUCCUGAACCACAUGCCUUAUAAGUUGGGAUACAGCAAGAUUUGAUGGUAAAGUUUGCCUUUAUUUAUUUAUUUUUUUAGCUUAUUUUUUGUAAUCUCUACACCCUAUGUGGGGCUCAAACUCACAACCCUGAGAUCAAGAGUUGCAUGCUGUUCCAAGAGAGAGCCAGCCAGGUGCCCAGAAAAUUUUGGCUUUAUAAUGCAAACAAUGCUAGUGGAUCUUCUAGAAAGACCUCUCACUUGAGAAUUGAUAGUCAUCUCUUGAGAUGGUAGUGUCUACAAUCAUGAUUUUCCAUUUUUUUCAAAAUGGUAUUCCUUUUACUUGCUUUUGCAAUUUUUUACCUCUCUUGUACAUCCCAAACUAUGUGAUGGGGAUUAAGGAGUGCGCUUGUGGUGAUGUAGAUGAGGAAAUUGAGACCCAGAGCAGUGAGGGGACUUGUUCAAAGCCACUCAGGUACUUAGUAGCAGAGCCAGUAUUAGAGCCCCAGGUCCCAACAGUCAGGACAAUGGAGAAAUCUGGCCCAUUAUCCUACCCUAACACAGGGCCUGUGGUUGGUGUUUCUCCUGAGUUCCCCCAGAAAUCUGCAAACAAGAACCAGACAAUACUAUACCCAUGAACCGCUCUCUCUUUGAAAUCUCAACUCUAAUGAUGCCACUCUCUGACCUUCUUCCACUUCUUUUUUUUUCAAGCACAGACAUGAGGGAAAAUAAUUACCAUCUAAUACCACUGUAGUGAGUUGAACAGUGGCCCCCAAAAAUGAUAUAUACAAAUCCUAACCCUUCAGAAGCUCUGAAUGUGAACUUAUUUAGGAAAAGUGUCUUUGCAGAUAUAAAUUAAAGAUUUUGAGACAAGGA